rnacentral:tRNA from 7 species
GCCUCGGUAGCUCAGCCUGGUAGAGCAACAGUCGGCUUUAGCCGGUUGAACCUUGUAAGCUGUGGGUCGCGGGUUCAAAUCCCGCCCGAGGCU